UCAACUAUGUUUCUUCGAGGCCUCAAGAACACCACAGCCAGACACAAGUCGGAGGUAACGGUCAUUCCAUUUGCGUAUGGGUAAUGCAAAAAGCAAAGCCGGUGAACAUCAACAAGAAGAGGACGUAGCUACAGGUCAGGCGAGUGGUAAAAAUGUUGAAGAAUACAGUGCAACCUUUGAUACUGAAAAAGAUGAAGCUAUUUGCGCAACAGAACCCGGUAUAUAACUGUGUGAAAAUUACUGUGAGGUAUUGCCUGACGUGCAUAUCUGACAAUGACAUGGACCAUGCUUAAUGUGUUGCAGCCCCUACGAGCGAGACAAAUCUGAAAGAAUAUAAUCCAAGCAUCUUAACCGUAGCUGCAAAUCUUGACCCAAUUUACACGACGGAAACAGAUGGAUCAGAAUGGGUAAGGCCUGGAUACCAUGCUGAUGGUCAAACAUUUGCGGCUACGGCUAAUCUAACACUAGAUCAUGCUAUUAAUAAGAUGCAGCUGCGAGAUGAUACUGAAGACGACACAGCUUCCGAACUGCUUGAAACUGUUUCUCUAAAUAAUGAAUG